AACAGGCUAAUCGGGGAAAAGUAGACGCAAAUGGUCACUGUGUUACACGGUCGUAAAUCAUCCCGAGUAGUUACUUUAAACGAAUGGACGAUCGAUGGUUAUCAGCGAAAACGACGCUAAAAGGUGCUGCAAACGAAACGCUAUGUGUUUUCUUUAUAUUCUAUGAAGUAACGUUUUCCCAGGCGGACUACGAUCGCGUUAAACGAAGUAUAAAUUAAGGCUCGAUGGGAUAGACGGCGUUCGAAUCUGCAACGUAACCUGCCAUUGUCAUAGUUUACGGUAGAUUUGUAAAAUGAACGGUAACCACGGCGCUAUAGUCGAUAGAUACGAUACGUAAUAAUCGGUUAACGGCUGUUCUAUCGGAUACGAAAAGCAUGCGAAUCGAAUGAAACGGUGAUUCGAAUAUCUGCCAUUAAACUAAGUCUCGUUCGCAGAAUGCUGCGGCUGCAUUCUCAUGCGCGUGUGGUCUUUCAUCACGAUUACAUUUCGAGGUGAAGAUCGUGUGUGGUUCCUUCGGAAAGGUCUUGUAGAAUGUUGUACAGAAGGUUAAUAGCGGAUUCGAUUGUGAAAGGUCUGUUGGUAUGGUAUUGGCUUGGCAACUAAAUGAUUGCGCAUUUUAUCGUUAGGUGGUAUUGACAAAAUCCGCAAUCACUUAAUUUGCAAGCUGAACAAAAGCGUGCGAUAAUUUGUAUCGUUAAUUGCAAUUGUAGGAAAAAGAUCUUGCAAUUGUUCUUUUAUACUACUUCGUGUUCUUUGAAGCACUAUAGUAAUAUCGACACAGUAUCUCAAUUAGUAAAUUAACGCGGAAUUAUGAAUGGACUGUUGACCUUUAUGCAAUCUCAUAUUUUAACAAAUGAAACCUAAAUUACAUUUCACUAUUUUAUAUGUUUUUUUACAUAUUACGUGCAAUCCUAUAUUUUUACAAUUUUUUCAGCAUUUUGUCAAUAUUUACACCAAUAAAUAGCAAUAGUCGCUUAAGCACAGUAGAACUCCUAACCUCAAUUUAUUAGGAGGAGAAUUAAGCGAUUCAUAUAUUAGGUUGGCAACUAAGUGAUUGCGGGUUUUGUCGUUACUACCUAACGACAAAACCCGCAAUCACUUAGUUUGCUAAUCCAAUACUUUGAACUCCUACCGUCUUGCAGAACAAGUGCAAAAGUUUUUCUCUUUUUUAUUACUUAAUAUGCACUUUACAAUUUGUGAAAUGCAAAAUUGUUCUCUGAUAAAAAUGAAGGAAGAGAAAUGAACCAGCGGCGUACUUACAGACAAUUGUAAAGGAGGGAAUCGACGAUUUUGACAGUGAAACAUGUGGCACCGUUCAAGCAGUACCAUUCCGCAUAAUCCGGUGGACACGUGUACAUGUGGAAUGUGAUGUUCGGUCGAGGCGUCGGCGUCGGUGGCCGUGGUUUCGGCGUCGACCGCGA